NNNNNNNNNNNNNNNNNNNNNNNNNNNAGGCUUACACCCAAUGGAAAGAAGGGGUCAUCACCAGGGAGGGCUAUUCUGUAGUUGCUUGGGGAUGUAGGGGGGUAGUUAGGAAGGCCAAGCCAGAGAUGGAACUAGGACUAGCUUCCCAGAUUAAGGACAAUAAGUCAUCCUUUUUUAAAUACAUAGGGGGUAAAAAGAAGGUCCCGGGUAAUGUGGGGCCCUUGCAGGAUGCAUUGGGAAAUUUGGUCGUUACACCAGAAGACAAAGCUAACAUGUUUAACGAUUUCUUUGCCUCCGUCUUCCUAAGUAGGGACCAGAACAGCCACCUUCCUGCUGGGCCCCCCUCGGGCCCCGGGGGAGGCACACCUGGGCCAAAGAUUAGCGAGGAACUAGUUAGGGAGCUUCUGGAGGGGCUGGACGUAUUCAAGUCAGCCGGCCCGGACGAUCUCCACCCUAGAGUUCUAAAGGAAUUGGCCGAAGUCAUUGCAGGACCCCUGGCACAGCUUUAUGAGCACUCGUGGUGCUCUGGUGUGGUGCCAGAGGACUGGAAGAGGACCAACGUGGUUCCCAUCUUCAAAAAAGGGAGGAAGGAAGACCCAGGAAACUAUAGGCCAGUUAGUCUUACCUCGAUCCUAGGCAAGCUGUUUGAGAAAAUUAUGCUGGCACACGUCCAUGGGGGGCCAGCAGGGGGCUGCAUGCUUAGGGGCAACCAACUUGGGUUCAUCAGUGGCAGGUCCUGUCAGACCAACCUGAUGGCCUUCUACGAUCAGAUUACCAGAUCAUUAGAUGCAGGGGUAGCAGUGGACAUAGUCUUUCUGGACUUCCGGAAGGCUUUUGACACUGACUUCCUGCCCUUUGGGCAGGGGGCUGGACUCGAUGAUCUCCCGAGGUCCCUUCCAGCCCUAAUGUCUAUGAAAUCUAUUAAAUCUAUGAAAAUCUCACCCCGUUCUCAUUAAGAAACUGGGGGACUGUGGUGUCGAUACCCACACAGUCAAUUGGGUCACCAACUGGCUGGAGGGCUGCACCCAGAGGGUGGUAGUGGAUGGGUCCUUCUCAACCUGGA
rnacentral:lncRNA from 1 species